CUCCACUCUAGUCAGUAGGUAACCUAUGUAGGUGUGAAUAAAUAAGAAGUGAUAAAAAUUUGUUCAAAUACAAUUUCGUACAUUCCUUGUCAUUUGUAUAACUAGUGAGAGUACAGGGUCAUCGUGUGAACGCCUUCAAGUUCUUUGGCAUCACGUGUCUACCCUCAAACUCAAUGAAUAAUCUUUUUUGCCUGUCUGCUGCACUGCUCAACCCCACGUUUUGACCAACUUUGUCAUUCCCCGUAAUAAAACGCCAUCCACAUGCGUCUAGACAGACCAAACUUAAGGAUGAGUACUUCAAAUGUCGAUAUACAAAUACUUUUAUUUAUAUACUACACCGCUUUAACGGGCAAAACCCUGGACGAGCGGACGAAUGUUGCAGGAACAGUACAAUUCUAUUCCGUCAUUCAACUUUUGCAAAAGCUUUUGCGACAGCGCCAGCAAGCGUCCAUUCAACCCACGCACCUUAUAUACCGUCAGUGUGUUUGUAUGUAUGCUCAGUUGUGCAGCUCAGCUUAUAAUAUUGCACACUUUGUGACAUACACAUACAUACAUACAAAGAGUUGUACAUUGUCAGCAGAAUUACAUUUGCCACCGCAGCAUAUGGGGUAGUGCUUAGUAGGGUUUGUGUUGUAGCAAUUUAUGCUUUUGGCGGUUGGCGUCUGAAGUUCUACGGAACCCCAACUCACCUUAACACGAAACUUGCUGUGGCAGUCUCAAACGGUAAACGGGGUUGAAUUCUUUCUGUGCGUUGCACCGCACAACAACACAAGCCAUGUCUACUGCAGCACCACGGCUGCAGCGCUUGCUCUGCUCUGCCACACCCUGUCCUGCAUUUUGCGGCAGACGUACGCUCACCCACAUACCCCAAAGGCGGUAGCACACCCGCAUGGCACACCCCGAGUGCGAGUAAUACUACGUAAGGCAACGAAACCAAGGCUGCUUUGAUUUUUCUUUCCAGCACAAGCACAGCAGUCUGUACAUACACACGCACGUGCAUGCAUACAUACAAACAAAACAGCACUUGCACGCGUACAGGCGCGGUAUGGGCAUGGUGAAUGACGAGACGACUUUAUCGAUCCAUGUGCAAGCGUAGCCAAAAGUGUUAUUGUGCCGAAGUCAAGAACCGACUACUUAGAUAAACCGACUGAUAGGUGACUGCAGAAGAAACAGCUAACAUGUACACUGCGUAUUAAACGCCUGGAAUUAUGCUUCAAAAACUCGUGUUAGCAAAUUGACGCCAAGAAAUAUGCAAAAAAUGCCUUUGAAGGUACUAAAGCGCGAGUAAUCGUGCUCGCUACCGAUUGUGCCGUUCACAGUUUCUAUGCUAAUCUUUCAAAUUUUGCCAAUUUAACGUUUGCUAUGCACUAUGUGUGCGUGAAAUGCCACUACGCAGCUAAGUUCACAAGUAACCGGUACUCAGCGAAUCAUUUGCUGCCUGUACCAUAACAAGGACGACGCCCUUUCAUUGUGACCUGUCCUGACCUUUGUUGUCUGCUCAACACUAUGUACUUCGCCGUCAUCAGCAACGUCGCCACCAUCGCCGCCGCCGCUGUUGUCGCCGCCACUGUCAACACAAACAAAAUGACAAUUACGCAAAUCAAUAAAAUAAGAACGCAAUAACGCAUUGUAGAUUUAUUAAUAAACGCGAGUUUUGCCAAAUUUGCAUUGCUCCGCUACAACAAAGAAAUAACUUUUCGUCAAUGAGUACACACACUUUUCGUCAAUGAGUAUACAACAAACAUGAAAAAAUGCAAUUUUGUACGCACUUAGCCACAAACGCAAGCCGGUUGGUUCGCCUGAAUGUAAAAUAAAACUAUUUAGCUCGAAAGAACAACAUUCGUUCGGAGGGUAGCGGAUUCAAACCCUGAUCAUGACAACGGCUGCUAAUAAAGCAAACUUUUUAAGAGGCUUUCGUCUUUCGCGGAAGAUUAUCGAACGCGGUGGAGCAUUUUCGACAGGCAAAACAAGUAGCGCUUUCAGAUAGUCAUACAACAUACAUACAUACAUACAUAUGUAUUUAUAUACGUCCAUCGAAACUUUGCUGGUCGAAAAUAUGUAUAUAUUUUUUUGUGGCUCGGCUUAGAUAGAGCUUAGACACAAAAUCGUAACGUUCGUUCAGCACAAACGAGAAUUUAAGCCAAAAAACGUUUUAAACUUUGCCGGACCAUAAAUAUCUUAAAGAUCUUGAAAUCUGCUGAUCUUGAAUUUCAUGAAAUAUUUUGCUGACUCACGCACGGGACACAGAAACAGAAAUGUGUGUACAGUACAGUAAUUAUUUUUUUUUUAUGUUCUCACUCACUCUUAGAUUCACUUUCCCUGUGUUUUUUUGUUUAUUUGAAACUCCUGACAACCUAACAACAACUAUUUAACGCAUUUUUUCAAAAAAAUUCUUUUACUUUUACUGCGAACGGUUUGAAGCCAAGUCCAUGAUUUUAAAAUGUUUUUUGAAAUUUCAUUGGUGACCACUUUAGCCAAGUGCGCCGGGAAGCAGUUUUUCGAACGUGAGAAAACAAUUCUACGGACCAAAUCAAAAGUGGUGCGACGAAUUGUAUGCUGAAAAAUUGAAAUAAAGCAAGUGUAUAAAAAGAAAAAAGGCUAAUUAACUGGGUGAAUUGACUGGAAUCGAAAUUAGGCGCCUCAGCGCUUUGACAAUACAUGAGGGUCUCUUGCUGCAUUCCUAGAAGUUAUUGGCAUUCUUAAUAACGGAUGUUUUCAAUUGUCAAAAAGUAGUAGUCACAUGAUCUUGGAAUCCCUUCCGAAGCCUAAUACACCAAGCUAACUUAAAGUUUUUUAGCGAAUUUUCAUGAAACCCGAACAUUCAGCGUUUUACCGUUAUGCAAAUAAAUAUUUUCACCAGCUACAAAUUUUGAGUAAAAUAAACGGCGCUUGGCAGACCAGUGGCAGUAUCACUUUGUACUAGGUGCGUAUACGCACAUAUCAAUCAGUGUACGAGUAUGUGUAAAUAUGUGUAUGUGUGUAUCAAAUACUUUUGUGCAAUUUAUGAAGACUUUUUUUAAGGAUUCUCCUUCCGCAUUUGAGAAUUUAAAAAGACCCUGCCUGGGCCCGGGAAAUGAUUGAAUUUGUAUGUAUCGGCUGUCUGAGCUGGCGCAUAACAACAACAAAAGGCCAGUAAGUGCAGACCACACGACAGAGUGAAUCUAAACGCCACGAACGGCCAGAUAUGGCGCUACAACUGAUAUAUGACUUUUUCUGCAUGCUUAUCUACACAUAUGUACAUAUAUAUUUGUAUAUAUAUGUGUGUGUAUAUAAAUAUAUAUAUAUUACCUUUGCAUGCAUACAUAUGUAUAUUCGUGCAGUGCAUAUAUUAAAUUAGUAUCUCGCAAUGGCACAUAAGCCCAAACACGAGAAUAUCAGCAAUGUGAAGUGGUGUAAGGUCAAUGUCGCUUGAAACGAAACGAAACUCUGUACGUCUCUGCCGCAGACGUAUGCCCAGUCUGUGUGUGGCGAGGCAACAACAAGCGCCAACAAACGGCCGCCACCAUAUACAUGCAUAUGUAUGUAUGUAUGUGCAUAGCUACUGUGUACAUACAUAUGUACAUGCAAGGCAAGCACGUUACACCCAGUCGGCGGCUCACGGUAACAAGGAAAAGCGACGAGGCGACAAGUCGGCAAAUUGGCAAGCCGGCAAGGCAAGGUAUGCCGGUGCUUUCGCCUUUGUUCUUGUUGUUACAGCUGGUGAUUGUCAGGCGUUGCAUUGUCGGUGCACUGUGAUUCACAUGCAUUCAAUAAGAGGGAAUGGGCAACGGUUAAAGACCGACUAUAUAUGCGGCGAUACAGCAAUAUGUAAGAUUAUACACGUAUGUACGUCGGCAUUGGUUUGCCCUGCUGGAAAAACAAGCACUCAGGCGUGAAGGAAGUUGUUAUAUUUUAUCAAAAAUCCCGCAUAGUUUUAGAAAUAUUGGAUAUGUGGUUGUUGAAGUAAGAAACAUUCAGGAAUAGGUUUGAGAAAUACUCGUCGUGCUCAUAAAUAGUUUCGGUUGCGUGGGCUCGAUUACCAAAGGAUAUCGAUAUCGAUUGCUGUAGAAAUCAAACAAAAUAUCUGAGAAACUAUUAUUUGAGCUGUAGUUUUCUAACAUGUAAAUUCAAUUUAAUUACAAAAAGUUACGUUUUGGUUUGAUUAUAUUGAAGGGAUUUGUCUAGAGGCUCUACAAAAUUUUCUUUUGAGGCAUUACAGCGGACGUGUAUAUAGACUAGAAUUUUACUCAUAAUAUAAUAUAUAGGUAGCUAAGUAUGUAUGUAUGCAUGAGUGCUUGUAUUAUACUGCAUUUCUAUCUUUGAUGGUGUUCUUGCAGACACUUUGUGUGAAUAGUCGAACAAGAUCUCCAUCAAAGAGCCAAAAACCGAAGCAGUUGCAAUGACAGCAGUAGGUGUGGCAUAGCAAUGAAUUUUCAAAGCAUAAAACCAAAAUUUUAUUAAUAAUGAAUAAAAAUACAAACAUGUCUUCGGAAAAAUAUAUGUACAAGUAUAUGUACGUACCUAUGUAGGUAGCAAUAAUUUGCGAAAAUGUCUGCAAACGAUUAGCUGAGCAUCACGCUUUUUAUUGAAUUGCAUUACUGACUCAUCAACUUAUUAAUUGGUUUUUUUUUUUUCUUUUUUUAAUGUAAUGAAUGAAGUGACUAAUCACAGUACAUAAUAUCGUAUAUUUAGCGUGGAGAAAGCAAUUUUUGGAGUUUGUAAUGCUAUAUUCCUUGCAAUACAGUAUUUGUAAAACUAUAGGAUGCUUGAACCAAUAGCAGCCAACUGGUGCAAGGUACAAUGCAUCGGUUCCCACAAAAAUCGAGUUUACGAAACCGGACGAAGCCGAUUUAAUAUCUGAUGAAGCAUUGGCAGCACGGCCGUAUUACUCAAUAUUAAUUAACAUGCAACAAAACAAGAGGAAUAUAGUAUGGGUCUCAAGCGGAGACAUUUUGGCUGUUGUGAUUGAAGUUUAGUGAAAGAUCGUAAUAACGCAAACUACUAAUCCUAUAUAAGAAGACACAUAUGUAUGUCAGUCUUACUCUUGUGAGACUAUAAAAAAAUAUAACGGAACUGGUAGAAAUUUAAAACUAAAAUAUAAAAUACUUAUAUUAAA